CUUAUACGGUCCAGGAUCACCGAUCAUUCACAGUUAAUGAUCCUUUCCAGGUUGUUGAUCUUAAAAGCCGGAUCCUUGUUAUCCACAGGGCAGUGCGAUCCUAAUAAGAGAUCACAAUAGAACAGAUCUCUAAAUAAAUAGAUCUUCUUUUUAAUACCCAGGAUCCCAGGUCUUUCUCAAGCCGACAAAGUUGAGUAGAAUCCACGGCCCGGGCUUCAAUCCAUUUUCAUACCGCGUUAUGCGAGGCAAUCACCAUGUUUUAUCCGGAUCC
rnacentral:misc_RNA from 1 species